rnacentral:miRNA from 1 species
UGAAACUAGUCGAGUUCCUC